rnacentral:tRNA from 1 species
GGUAUUAUGACUGAUAAAAGUGAUAGAUUGUAAAUCUAUAUAUGAAUAAAUUUCUAAUACCA